ensembl:lncRNA
CUUGGAUUGCUACCAUAUUCAUUAGUACAUUAUUUAAAUAAAAUAAUUGUCUUUCAGAGUGCACUGUUAUUCAUUAGCAUCUCACGAUGACCUGACCGAAGCGUUUUAUCUUCCACUACAUUUUAUUAGAUAUGGAUCUUAUAUUAAGUUUAUCUGGAGCCACUAUAUAUAGAAUUAAUUUUAAGAAGACAUUAAAACUAUUAAUGGCUUGUGUUAAUUUAUGUUAUUCUCUCAGUUGUGGUGCUUUCUGCUGUUGUGGUACCAGUGGUGGUGCUGACUGUUGUUCCUUCAGUUGUGGUGCUUUCUGAUGUUGCCGUCUCCGUUGUUGUACUUUCUGGAGUUGUGGUACUGGUGGUUGUACUUUCUGUUAUUGUAGUGCUUUCCGAUGAUGUUGCCUCAGGUGUUGUGCUUUCUGUUGUUGUAGUGUCCAUCGUGGUGGUGCUGUCUGUUGUUGUGGUGCUUUCUGUUGUACUUUCUGAAGCUGUGGUAAUGGUGGUGGUACUUUCUGAUGUUGUAGCAUCUGUUGUUGUGGUUUCCACUGUUGUACUUUCUGGAGUUGUUGUACCGAUGGUAGUGCUUUCUGUUGUUGUACUACCCACUGUGGUACUUUCUGUUAUUGUUGUACUUUCUGUUGUUGUGGAUUCAGUUGUGCUUUCUGUAGUUGUAAUGUCUGUUGUGAUGCUUUCAGUGGUUAUUGAAGUUUCUGCUGUUGUACUUUCUAAAGUUGUGGUACCGGUGGUGGUGCUUUGUGUUGUUGUAGUAUCCAUUGUGGUGCUGUCUGUUGUUAUUGUUGUCUCUGCUGUUGUACUUUCUAGUGUUGUUGUGAUAUCUGGUGUUGUGGUAGCUGUGGUGGUGCUUUCUGCUGUUGUAGUAGUAUCUGUUGUGGAGCUUUCUGUUGUUGUGGUUUCGGUUGUUGUAAUUUCUGUUGUUGUGGUGUCUGCUGUUAUACUUUCAGGUGUUGUGAUUCCGGAGGUUGUACUUUCUAUUGUUGUCUCAGUUGUGGUGCUGUCUGUUAUUAUUGUUGUCUCUGCUGUUGUAGUUUCUGGUGUUGUGGCAACGGAGGUUGUACUUUCUGUUGUUGUCUCAGUUGUGGUGCUUUCAGCUGUUGUGGAAGUUUCUGCUGUUGUACUUGCUAAAGUUGUGGUACCAGUGGUGGUGCUUUCUGUUGUUGUAGUAUAUAUUGUGGUGCUGUCUGUUGUCAUUGUUGUCUCUGCUGUUGUACUUUCUGGUGUUGUGGUACCGGAGGUUGUACUUUCUGUUGUUAUCUCAGCUGUGGUGCUUUCAGUUGUUGUGAUUUCUGGUGUUGUGGUAGCUGUGGUGGUGCUUUCUGUUGUUGUAGUAGUGUCUGUUGUGGUGCUUUCAGUAGUUGUGGUAUCUUCUAUAGCUGUGGUUUCCAUUGUUGUAAUUUCUGAAGUUGUGGUACCAGUGGUGCUGCUUUCUGUUGUUGUGGUCAUUAUGGUAGUACUUUCUGUAGUUGUGGUGUCUUCUGAUGUUGUGAUCUCAGUUGUGGUGAGAUUGU